rnacentral:rRNA from 1 species
UACGGAGGGAGCUAGCGUUAUUCGGAAUUACUGGGCGUAAAGCGCACGUAGGCGGCUUUGUAAGUUAGAGGUGAAAGCCUGGAGCUCAACUCCAGAAUUGCCUUUAAGACUGCAUCGCUUGAAUCCAGGAGAGGUGAGUGGAAUUCCGAGUGUAGAGGUGAAAUUGUAGAUAUUCGGAGGAACACCAGUGGCGAAGGCGGCUCACUGGUCCGGUACUGGACGCUG